CGGAACGGGUGAGUAAUACAUCGGAACGUGCCCAUUAGUGGGGGAUAACCCGGCGAAAGCCGGACUAAUACCGCAUACGACCUACGGGUGAAAGCAGGGGAUCGCAAGACCUUGCGCUAUUGGAGCGGCCGAUGGCAGAUUAGCUAGUUGGUGGGGUAAAAGCCUACCAAGGCUACGAUCUGUAGCUGGUCUGAGAGGACGACCAGCCACACUGGGACUGAGACACGGCCCAG
rnacentral:rRNA from 1 species